GUUUGCUUGAUCGUGUGUUUUUGUGUUUGCUGUUAUGAAGUAGGUCGCAGUUAGCGUGCACAGAAGUGCCUGAAGAUACCUUGUGUCACGCUGCAAACUCGCCGUAUGCGUGGCGCGCCAGGCAAAUGUGGCCCAACGAUUUUAUGCCGUGGAGUGCGGUUUCUUUGUUCUCGUUCUGGAAAGUUGGGUGGACGUCGCAAAGAAUGUGUGUUAGCGCGCCUCAGCUCGUCCACUACGCAGCGGCAUGUAUGCGGGGAGUAACAUCGUCGACGCAGCACCGGCAACUUGGAGAGUGCUUCGCGACCGCGUCGUACCAUUCAAACGUGGCGAGGCUGUGACCCAUAACAGUGCCUACAUAACGGAGGAGCCACCAGACCCCUUGGCUAUGCCUGCCGUAGUGCAACGUAUAAUCUGGAUGGUCGGGUCAGGUACACCUAGGAAAUGUUGUAUACAUUGGCAACGAUAACUGGGGCCUGCUCCAGUGCCAUCGCCGGGAUUCCCUGUUCUGCAAAAAACUCACAUAACUGAUGUGGGGAGCCCUGGCGCUCGGUGUAGGAGUAUCACAGGGGCUCCUUGUCGGUGCUUGAAGGACGGCAAUGCUGUUGUGAAGCCGACAUUGAGCCCCGAUAAAUUGGAAGCUGUGGGUAGUUACCGCAUUAUUGACUUGGAAACCAGUGAGGUCUGGAUGCAAGUGAAGCUACCGAGGCAGGCAUGUGUGCAUCACUUGUGCUGCUGGCCAUCCUCUGCAAAAGUGAUGGCUGGCAGUCAGUGCUUGGAUGACUUUCUGUUACUCUACGCCUUGGGCUGUGUUGACUACUUCACACUUGCUGCCAUGUCAGCAAGCUUAGGCAAAAAGACCGGCUGGAUGCUUGGCAGGAGAUAGUAUCCAACCGCAGUGUUACUGUGUUGUGUUGUACAUUACAAAGUGAUGGAGGACAGUAUUUGUGCUGUUAUUAAGAAGUAUAAAUUGUGUUCUGCCAUUGAAAUAAGGGAACUCGACACAAAGCAAAAGAUUUCGAAGUCUGACCUACAUGGGAAAGCAAAAUAUAUUGUGUUGUAGUUGUAGCUGUUAGUAGAGUCUUAAUAUGCGAUAGAAGACCUUGAUGUUUAAUAGAAAAUAUAUUUAAGUGUGUUAUCAGUGUGUUAUCAGUGUUUAAGUUACUGUUAUGUGUCAUUUGUUUGUCAGGAUGAUGUAAGCAGACAGUAAAUAAAUGCAUGGUUUGAGAUUAUAACCAGGUUUGUCUAUGGCAUUCACUAUUAUUUAAGGUGGACCAAUGCAUAUUCAUGGGUGCAUAUUCAACCACCACAUUCCUCCUGCACAAACAAUUCCUACAUACUA